GAUGAACGCUGGCGGCGUGCUUAACACAUGCAAGUCGAACGGAAAGACCAUGCUUUUGUGGGGUUCUCGUGUGGCGAACGGGUGAGUAACACGUGAGUAAACUGCCCUUGACUUUGGGAUAACUUUUGGAAACUGGGGCUAAUAUCGGAUAGGAGCUCUUGCUGCAUGGUGGGGGUUGGAAAGUUUCGGUGGUUGUGGCUGGAAUGGCUGCUUAUCCGCUUGUUGGUGAGGUUGGGGAUUACCAAGGCUUUGACGGGUAGCCGGCCUGGGAGGGUGACCGGCGACAUUGGGACUGAGGGACGGACCAGACUCCUACGGGAGGCAGCAGUGGGGAAUAUUGCACAAUGGGCGGAAGCCUGAUGCAGCAACGCCGCGUGCGUGAUAACGGCCUUCGGGUUGUAAACCGCUGUCGCCUGUGACGAAGCGUGAGUGACGGUAAUGGGUAAAGAAGCACCGGCUAACUACGUG
rnacentral:rRNA from 1 species